AUUGAACGCUGGCGGCAGGCCUAACACAUGCAAGUCGAGCGGAUGAGAAGAGCUUGCUCUUUGAUUCAGCGGCGGACGGGUGAGUAAUGCCUAGGAAUCUGCCUGGUAGUGGGGGACAACGUUUCGAAAGGAACGCUAAUGCCGCAUACGUCCUACGGGAGAAAGCAGGGGACCUUCGGGCCUUGCGCUAUCAGAUGAGCCUAGGUCGGAUUAGCUAGUUGGUGAGGUAAUGGCUCACCAAGGCGACGAUCCGUAACUGGUCUGAGAGGAUGAUCAGUCACACUAGAACUGAGACACGGUCCAGACUCCUACGGGAGGCAGCAGUGGGGAAUAUUGAACAAUGGGCGAAAGCCUGAUCCAGCCAUGCCGCGUGUGUGAAGAAGGUCUUCGGAUUGUAAAGCACUUUAAGUUGGGAGGAAGGGCAGUAAGUUAAUACCUUGCUGUUUUGACGUUACCGACAGAAUAAGCACCGGCUAACUCUGUGCCAGCAGCCGCCGUAAUAC
rnacentral:rRNA from 1 species